rnacentral:tRNA from 2 species
GCCGUGUAUGCAGGCUGGCUCUGCAAACUGUCUUGAAAACAGUAUACCGUAAAAAACGGUACGUGGGUUCGAUUCCCUCACGCGGCG